AAAGAGUUGGAGUGGAAAAGAAAGGACAUUCGGGAGGGGCGGUGCUGCCUAAGGUGCUUCCGCGCCCAGGAGCGAAGGAGCCGUUUGAUCCCCUGGCGGGAGCGCAGCUCCCGGUGGCGGAGAACGGAGCGGUGGCUGUCAGUCCGAGACUCCAACUCCCGGCAGGCCCUGCGGCCGUAAAGCGCGGCGUCUGACGCAACGGCCGACGCGCCGUAGGAGUGGCUGGCGGCCCGAGGCGGCCGCGCGCCGGGGGAGCGGGCAGCUCCCGGCGCCUGUGCCACGCGGGACGGAGCCGCGGCAGCGACGCUGGAGGGGCGAAGCCUCCGUCCGGCCGCCCGCACGGAGCCGAGCGGCGCGGAAGGGGCGUCCGCCCGGUGCCUCGGCCUCGCUCAGCGGUCCCGGUGGCGGGGGCUCGGCUCGGGCGGGGCGCGCUGCCGCCCGCCGAUGGCGGAGCGCCAGGCGGUGCUUUGCUGCCGCGGGCCGGGAGCUGCAGGAGCCGCCCCGGGCGAGCGGCGCCGGGCGCUGCCGCGGUCACUGUGCGGCGGCUGCCCUCGGGCUGGCGGAGGCGCGGGAGCCGCCGAGCUGCAGCGUCUCCCUCGGGCCGCUGCCGCUGCUGCGGGCGGGGGCGGACGAGCGGCUGCGGAGGCGGCUCCGCGGCGGGCUCAGCCUUGCGAGCAGAGAGCGCUCGACAUCGCUGGCAUGACACGGCUGCUGAGUGCCUCAGUGCUCGUGGCUCUUCCUUCCACGCAAACAGAUGGAGCGGCAUCGCUGAGCAGUAAAACACAGCGAUGGCGCGGAGAAUGGCGAGCGCAAGGAGCGCCGGGCAGGAUCCUUCUGAUGGCACAGGGUACUCAGAAAAUAUUUUUCCCUUAGAGUCCCACUGAAACAUUCUCCGUGCAAUCUCCGUUAAGUGCCAGGAGUCUGGAGAAACUGGAGAAGAGCCCAAGAGACAUUUUUCAUCCUGAGAUACAAAAGGGAUCGGUGAAUUUUAAAUUUGGAGUCCUCUAUGCUAAGGAUGGUCAGCUUACAGGUGAUGAAAUGUUCAGUCAUGGGCAGGGAAGGACUCUCGUAUCCCGGUCGUCAGACUCAGCGCUGCCCGAGAAGAUACAGAGACUGUAAAAAUCAUAAGGAGCAACUAGGACUGCAGAGGAAACAAACUGGAGAGAACAAAAGGUCGUGCUCUGAUGCAUUUACAGAAGCCAUGGCAGGAGAGAGUCAGCUGCUGGAGAAGAGGAGACAGUACUAUCCCUGUGCAGCACAGAACUGUGCUGCUGCUGUGUCAUCAGCUGUGUCUGCACUGAAAGUAGCCACCUUCACUUGUAGGUAGCUCCUUGGUGCUUUAGGACACGCUGAGGGAUUUAUUCCUUUUGGGAUCCACGAUGAGAAUUCCCAAGAGAGGUAGUAAUAAGGUAUGACAUUGGAAAUUUUCCAAUGUCAUACCUUAUUACUACCUGUGUCCUUGGAAUGUUGUUGUUGUCGUCAAAAGUUAAUUUUUCCUUCUUUCUUAGCCAGUAGUCAGCUUUUUGCUUUAUUUUUUGUGGUAUCAGUAUUUGAUUGUUUAAAAAAUUGCUUCAAAAGAACUGCAGUGGCUGGCCACCAGGACCUUG